GGGAAUGUAGCUUAGUGGUAGAGUGCUUGUCUAGUAUACAUGAAGCCCUGAGUUCAAUUCCUCAGUACCA
rnacentral:tRNA from 1 species